rnacentral:rRNA from 1 species
AACAAACGCUGGCGGCGUGCUUAAUACAUGCAAGUCGAACGUGAUAGAGGGGGUAACUCCUCUUGAAAGUGGCGAACGGGUGAGUAACACGUAAGUAAUCUACCUCUAAGAUUGGGAUAACCUUGCCAACGCGAGGCUAAUACCGGAUGUGAUCAUAAAAACGCAUGUUUUAAUGAUUAAAGAUGUGAAUCGCUUGGAGAUGAGCUUGCGGCCCAUUAUGCUUGUUGGCGGGGUAACGGCCCACCAAGGCUUCGAUGGGUAGCCGGCCUGAGAGGGUGUACGGCCACAUUGGGACUGAGAUACGGCCCAGACUCCUACGGGUGGCAG